rnacentral:rRNA from 1 species
UUCAUGGAGAGUUUGAUCCUGGCUCAGGACGAACGCUGGCGGCGUGCCUAAUACAUGCAAGUCGAGCGGACCGA